GCAGAGCACUCCUCGGGAGGCAGCAGUGGGGAAUAUUGCACAAUGGGCGCAAGCCUGAUGCAGCCAUGCCGCGUGUAUGAAGAAGGCCUUCGGGUUGUAAAGUACUUUCAGCAGUGAGGAAGGUGGAUAUGUUAAUAGCAUAUUCAUUUGACGUUAGCUGCAGAAGAAGCACCGGCUAACUCCGUGCCAGCAGCCGCGGUAAUACGGAGGGUGCGAGCGUUAAUCGGAAUUACUGGGCGUAAAGCGCAUGCAGGUGGUUUGUUAAGUCAGAUGUGAAAGCCCGGGGCUCAACCUCGGAAUUGCAUUUGAAACUGGCAAACUAGAGUACUGUAGAGGGGGGUAGAAUUUCAGGUGUAGCGGUGAAAUGCGUAGAGAUCUGAAGGAAUACCGGUGGCGAAGGCGGCCCCCCUGGACAGAUACUGACACUCAGAUGCGAAAGCGUGGGGAGCAAACAGGAUUAGAUACCCUGGUAG
rnacentral:rRNA from 1 species